rnacentral:rRNA from 1 species
GAUGAACGCUAGCGGCAGGCCUAAUACAUGCAAGUCGAACGGUGUCUUCGGACAUAGUGGCGCACGGGUGCGUAACACGUAUGCAACCUACCUUACAUUGGGGGAUAGCCUUUCGAAAGGGAGAUUAAUACCGCAUAAGACAGUAGCUGGGCAUCCAGCAGCUGUUAAAGAUUUAUCGAUGUAAGCUGGGCAUGCGUCCAAUUAGCUAGUUGGUGAGGUAACGGCUCACCAAGGCAAUGAUUGGUAGGGGAACUGAGAGGUCAAUCCCCCACACUGGCACUGAGAUACGGGCCAGACUCCGACGGGAGGCAGCAGUAGGGAAUAUUGGGCAAUGGACGCAAGUCUGACCCAGCCAUGCCGCGUGCAGGAUGAAGGCGUUAUGCGUUGUAAACUGCUUUUAUACAGGAAGAAACGACUCUUGCGAGAGGCAUUGACGGUACUGUAUGAAUAAGCACCGGCUAACUCCGUGCCAGCCGCCGCUGUAAUAC